GAGUUCAAAUCUCGGUGGAACCU
rnacentral:piRNA from 3 species